rnacentral:rRNA from 1 species
GACGUAGGGCGCGAGCGUUGUCCGGAUUUAUUGGGCGUAAAGAGCUCGUAGGCGGCUUGUCGCGUCGACUGUGAAAUCCCGCGGCUCAACUGCGGGUCUGCAGUCGAUACGGGCAGGCUUGAGUUCGGUAGGGGAGACUGGAAUUCCUGGUGUAGCGGUGAAAUGCGCAGAUAUCAGGAGGAACACCGAUGGCGAAGGCAGGUCUCUGGGCAUUAACUGACGCUGAGGAGCGAAAGCAUGGGGAGCGAACAGG